AUUUCCUAUUUUCCCAUUCGGACCAAUUUUUCAUUGUCUAUUUUCAUGGCUAAAGCCCAAAAAUGCAUAUCUUCGAUUGUGACUUUUCAAAAUGUUUAUUUUUUUUAAAGAACACUCUCAUUUUUCAUUGAAAGUCUCUGUGAAUUUCUUUCACUCAUUCACAUUUAUUUACAGAGAAUUUCAAGAAGAUGUUUUGUCUGGUUGCCUUUUAAAAAACUAACACAUAAUGGAAGAUUUUUAGCAUUAUCAAGAAAAACAACAAUAACAGCUGGCGUGAAAAUGAGCGCUGAUAAGAGUCAGCAUACGGCUAAGAUUCUCUCUGGAACAGCCAUCUCUAAGUACGUUGCCAGCUUCUUUGGUUACCUAAUUGCUAAUUAUCUGUCAGAACUCAAAAUCAAUAAAAAUCCAUAAUUUUUCUUAUCAAUUCCAUAAUUGAAUAUUUUUUGCUUAAGAAUGAUACUUUUAGAAAAAUUCAAGUUGGUUUUAUUUUGGAAAAUCAAAUCCUAAGCAAAAAUUUUGAGAUGUAGUAAUCAAGACACUUUUUUUCUAUUCCCAGUAGUGUCCCAUCUCUUAAAAAAAAAAAAAAAAAAAAAAAAAAAAA